rnacentral:snoRNA from 1 species
GCCCUCGUGUGAUGACCAAGCCUUUUAUUAUACAGUUAUCCCUAUCUGAAUUUCUUUGUGUGGAUAUUGCCUAACUUCUGACGUUGCU